GUCGGUAUCGUAUAGUGGUCAGUACAGCACGUUGUGGCCGUGCAAACGAGAGUUCGAUUCCCUCUACCGACA